GUUGUUGUGAUGAGAAGCUAACAUGUAAGUAGAUCCCAUCUUAUUGCGGGGUUUUCAAUGAACUAUACUUGUUAGCUCUCACCCUCAACCAU
rfam:Gossypium arboreum cultivar AKA8401 contig_76979_1, whole genome shotgun sequence.